AGAGUUUGAUCAUGGCUCAGGACGAACGCUGGCGGCGUGCUUAACACAUGCAAGUCGAACGAUGAACCGGUUUCGGCCGGGGAUUAGUGGCGAACGGGUGAGUAACACGUGGGUAAUCUGCCCCGCACUCUGGGAUAAGCCCGGGAAACUGGGUCUAAUACCGGAUAUACAUCGAUGGUCGCAUGGCCUGUCGGUGGAAAGCUUUUGCGGUGUGGGAUGGGCCCGCGGCCUAUCAGCUUGUUGGUGGGGUGAUGGCCUACCAAGGCGACGACGGGUAGCCGGCCUGAGAGGGUGACCGGCCACACUGGGACUGAGACACGGCCCAGACUCCUACGGGAGGCAGCAGUGGGGAAUAUUGCACAAUGGGCGAAAGCCUGAUGCAGCGACGCCGCGUGAGGGAUGACGGCCUUCGGGUUGUAAACCUCUUUCAGCAGGGGAGAAGCGCAAGUGACGGUACCUGCAGAAGAAGCACCGGCUAACUACGUGCCAGCAGCCGCGGUAAUACGUAGGGUGCAAGCGUUGUCCGGAAUUAUUGGGCGUAAAGAGCUCGUAGGCGGCUUGUCGCGUCGGUUGUGAAAGCCCGGGGCUUAACCCUGGGUCUGCAGUCGAUACGGGCAGGCUAGAGUUCGGCAGGGGAGACUGGAAUUCCUGGUGUAGCGGUGAAAUGCGCAGAUAUCAGGAGGAACACCGGUGGCGAAGGCGGGUCUCUGGGCCGAUACUGACGCUGAGGAGC
rnacentral:rRNA from 1 species